rnacentral:lncRNA from 1 species
UACCAGUCGUUUGAAACGAUGAAAUGGGCAACAAGUCGAUUUGUUUUUCAUCUAUCAAUCGUUGUAAUUCACAUGCAGCUACAAGACGACACGUUAUAUUUAGGGUGCAAAGCAGGUAGAGAUUUCAUAGGCAUAUUUCGAAGUACCAGCUUUAUGCCAAAACAUGCAUGCAUGCAAGAAACUCCAUAACUUCGUUUGCGCAACUCCUGCUUAUCGUCUUCUUUCUAUACCCAUGCUGUUGGAUCAAUGAAUGAACGUAGCAAUAGAUACAAGAUAUAGCGCCACACUUUUGAGCAUAUCCUAAUGACAGUAAUUCGUUUUGUUCUAAGCGACCAAGUAUUCGCUCUUGCAACACUAUAGUUCUCACUUUGAGGAAACAUUCCUUUGAUGCCCAUGUUCAUUCCACUUGGAUGACAGAAUCCUCGAUAGUAUUAGUAUUAAUGAAUUAACUGUCAGGAUGUGUUGUCGUUCUUGAAGUAAGUCUUGUGAAAGAAACCACCGAGUUAAAAAUAGAGAUCUCGAUGGUUUUAUAUAUAAAAGUUUAAUGCUUGCCUAUUUAUACAUUUCCCAAGGACUGCUGAGGUAGAUGCGUUGUUCAGUUGACUAGGAUUUGUUUGAAUUCAAAGAUUAUCUAUUCAAGUCUUCUUUAUACGUUUGCAUGUGUUUGAUAAGAAUUCCAUUGAUUCAGAAAAAAAGUGCCAACAGUUUUUCCAACUUGACUGACACUACAACCUUCCAAUCAUAGCCAUACUACUAUGGUAUAAAAAUAAAAGUUUACAAUUUUACUACUGUUAUAUAUAUUUCGAUGGUAGUGAAGCUUUAAAAAAAAGAAGGAAUAGCAUACCGUCAAGUCGUUAGUUGAUGGGUAGGGUUGUUAGCCUAAUUAUGAGUUUUAUUUGUAAAAUAGGUUUAGGUUUUAGUUUUAGUUUUAAAUUAUUAGUCCAAUCAUGAGUUGAGCUGCUAGUUUAGGCGUGCGUUGACCUUUUAGCUUAGGUGUAUUGUCACGGUUUGGUUUUCAUAUCUCUGCGCCGCCUAUAUUAGCAAACAGUUGACAUAGAAUUCACAACAAUAACAAAUUAAAAAUGCAUCAUCCUGUAAUUAAAAGAAGGUAUAUUGAUGCAUCCUUUGCGUGAAUCAGACACGUAGAAUCAUGUUUCUCUCAUGACAAAGAGCACUUAUAGUAGCAUAUCUAGAAUUUCUCUCAGUUUUAACUUUCUUCGGUCUCGGUUUUUCCCUUGACAAAGCUGAUAAUAUAUCAUGUACAAUCAGGCAACACAUUUAUUUAGUCAACGUUCAAGUCCAAAAGCAACUUUAUGUCGUACUAAGAUACAGUUUUGCGAAGCGACAUAGAUCUCAUAACGCCUCAAUGUUUUAUUAGUAAUUCUUCGUGAUCACACUACCUGUGUAAAAUGGAUGAAGAGAAACGAGCUUUAAGCAGGAAUAACGUGUGCGCUAAAAAAUUUGUGUAUUACGAAAGACUUUAUAUGACUAAUUUCGUUACUGAAUGUAUUUAAGCUUGAUAGUCUUGAUGCUUUCGACCAAUUCUUUUUAAACAAUGUUACUUCAUUUUGCUAGGGUAAACAUAAAGUGAAUGAGUAGUAGAAGGGUAAGAAUAUGUAGGAUGAAAACAGAUUCCGGAAGCUGCAUAUGUGAGCAGACACAGGUAUUUUGAACUGCCUUCAAGUCUCUUAAUAAGUAAGGAAGUCGCUAUUAUUGGAUUAGUAGACCCACAUCACCAAAAUUUCUUGCCAUGACGACAUCACGUGUACUAGAGCAAUUCGGGUCAUACUUCGUGUUCAAUUCUGAUUUGAUUUCUUUUUUUUCGAGUAUGAUUGUCAACAAAAAACGAUAAAGACUUUUACAUCUCCAGUCGGCUGAACUCCAGUAAUUAAAGUUCGAUAUUGUUUAAAAAUUAAAAAAACAAACAAACAAAAAGAUGAAAUGAUGAAAUGAUUGAUGACGAUUUUAAAAAAGAUCAAAACUUGAAACUCAUAUCACAAGAAAUGGAGACAACAUUCAACUAUAAAGUUUUUCAGCGAGACAUGUACCGAUUGAUUCGGUCUUUGCAGGACUCUUGAUGUUUGCCUAAUCGGGUUAAAUUGUGGUGGUGUGGUAAUACGUACUAGCUCUCGUUUCUUUAUAUCCAACUGACGGCAUCGCUUGUACUUUUUUAAUAACUUCUUUUUCCUCUUCGUAUGGUGUGUAAACUGAAUGGAAACGAUGAACCCAUCAUGAACCUCACAUCAUUUGGUUCCGUCUAUUUAGUGCUCACCCAGUGUUGCUUUAUGAAAUGAAACAAUGGUUGAUGUUUUCAUCAAUCACCCAUGAAUUAGUUUGGGGUAAAUAUGAUUCUAUUAUUAUCUCUUUCUCAAAGUGCUAAGCGAUGAUGUACAUGUAUCUAUGUUUUCCAAAAUCUUUAUCUCAAUUUUUGAAACAGGACUUUUAAUAGUCUUUCAUAUCAGCAAUUGUUUCAGAAAAUGUUAACAACCAUCAA